rnacentral:lncRNA from 1 species
AGAGCUAUUUCUUCGGGAUUCAAGCUAGUAUGCAACUGGCUAAACAGUGGAGAAAGCUUGGUUGUUACUGUGCCCCAUCUCUCCUCUAGGGUAGCCAACAAGAUGUAAGCAGAAGUCUUAUGGUGUGGCUUCUGGGAAACCUCUCCAAAGAUCUUCAGAGAAUGAUCUUUGCAGGAAAUCUCUGUUACCUGAAGAUGAAAAGGAAUGUGAACCAACUCUGAUCCCAAUUCAGACCUUCGCCAACUGACAGUUCAGGUGAAGGCCCUCUGGGGUGACCAGAAAGCAAAGAAAAGAUGAGUAUAUUAUUGCUGAACAGUUCUCUUUCAGAAAAAGAGAAUAAAAUAAAGAAAGAGACCUAAGCCUUGAAAUACAGUAAGUGGGAGAAAACCUGGUAUUAAAAGUAGGAUUAAAAAUCUUACAGAUUUAGACAACGAGACUGAUCUCAAA